rnacentral:rRNA from 1 species
UGGGGAAUAUUGGACAAUGGGCGAAAGCCUGAUCCAGCCAUGCCGCGUGUGUGAAGAAGGUCUUCGGAUUGUAAAGCACUUUAAGUUGGGAGGAAGGGCAGUAAGCGAAUACCUUGCUGUUUUGACGUUACCGACAGAAUAAGCACCGGCUAACUCUGUGCCAGCAGCCGCGGUAAUACAGAGGGUGCGAGCGUUAAUCGGAUUUGCUGGGCGUAAAGCGUGCGUAGGCGGCUAAUUGAGUCGGAUGUGAAAUCCCCGAGCUUAACUUGGGAAUUGCAUUCGAUACUGGUUAGCUAGAGUUUGGGAGAGGAUGGUAGAAUUCCAGGUGUAGCGGUGAAAUGCGUAGAGAUCUGGAGGAAUACCGAUGGCGAAGGCAGCCAUCUGGCCUAACACUGACGCUGAGGUACGAAAGCAUGGGGAGCAAACAGG